rnacentral:misc_RNA from 1 species
GAUGAAGAACGUAGCGAAAUGCGAUAAGUAAUGUGAAUUGCAGAAUUCAGUGAAUCAUCGAAUCUUUGAACGCACAUUGCGCCCGCCAGUAUUCUGGCGGGCAUGCCUGUCUGAGCGUCAUUUCAACCCUCAUGCCCCUAGGGCGUGGUGUUGGGGAUCGGCCAAAGCCCGCGAGGGACGGCCGGCCCCUAAAUCUAGUGGCGGACCCGUCGUGGCCUCCUCUGCGAAGUAGUGAUAUUCCGCAUCGGAGAGCGAUGAGCCCCUGCCGUUAAACCCCCAACUUUCCAAGGUUGACCUCAGAUCAGGUGGGAAUACCCGCUGAACUUAAGCAUAUCAAUAAGCGGAGGA